rnacentral:piRNA from 1 species
UUAUGGUUUGAAAACGGUUGUGGUGU